UACGUAGGGUGCAGGCGUUAAUCGGAAUUACUGGGCGUAAAGCGUGCGCAGGCGGUUUCUUAAGUCAGAUGUGAAAGCCCCGGGCUUAACCUGGGAACUGCGUUUGAAACUGGGAGACUUGAGUGUGGCAGAGGGGGGUGGAAUUCCACGUGUAGCAGUGAAAUGCGUAGAUAUGUGGAGGAACACCGAUGGCGAAGGCAGCCCCCUGGGCUGAGAUUGACGCUCAGGCACGAAAGCGUGGGGAGCAAACAGG
rnacentral:rRNA from 1 species